GAUCCGCAACUCGGCCGGGCUGGGCUAAACGAGGCAGAAGCGCAAUAAUACAUUGGGGCGGGGCCUGCGGAAGCCACGCCUCCGCAGACCGCCCCUUUUGAAUAGCUGGAGCCAGAAGCGAGAGAAUGAUUUCCGCAGUGUCCAGCCGUGGUGGCACAGUGGUUAGAAUGCAGUACUGCAGGCUACCUCACUGCUGACUCCAGGAGUUCAAUCCUGACUAGCUCAAGACUGACUCAGCCUUCCAAGCUAUGCAUAAGGUCAUGGGAACCAUCAUCAGACUCCCUCCAAAGAAGGCACAACACCAGCAUGUUGACUGCAUACAAAAAGAAGCACAGAGUUCUGAGAUUUUCUAAGGAAGAUUAUUGGACACCAAAUUAAGCAGACGAUUUGUUUUAUUCUGCAAUCUACCCAGUCAGUUAAGGCAGCCGAAAACUACUAUUUAUCACCUGCUGAUAAAAUUUACCCCAGCCUAUACAUGGGAUCCUUGACAUAUUGAGAAGUAGAAGCUUGGGCUCAAGCUUGAGUCAGCCUUCCAUCCUUCUGAGGCUAGUAAAAUGAGGACCCAGAUUGUUGGAAGCAAUAUAACGACUCUGUAAACCGCUUAGAGAGAGCUGUAAAGCACUGUGAAGUGUUAUGUAAUUGCCAUUGCUAUAUUACAUUUAGGGAUUUUGUGUAAAUUAGGCAACAAGUUACAUUAUCACUUCACUACCUACCAUCUUCUCACCAGCUCACUCUGAUUUUCUGAGCAUUGUGCUGCUAUUGCUGCAACUCUUCCUGUCAGCUUCAAUAGGGGUUUUACAACAACUGUAAAAAUUGGAUGUUCAGUUUAGUAAAGAAUAACAAAAGUUAAUUGGUAAUUUAGAAAACCUUGACAACCAUUUCCCACAAACUAGACUCAGCUGGGUAAAUCAUCUUCCUCAUUACAUAACAUCAAUGCAUCAAUAUUUUUACUCACAGAAGUUGUUCUUUACCUAAUUUAUAGCCUAUUUAGUGUAAACCCUAAAGGGAUAUAUGAAACUCAUCAGAGCAGAAAAUGGCAAUUUUUGAGCUGCCAUCGUGCAACAUCUUGAAUCAAGGUACCAAAAGCUGAUAGUAAAAUGGUUGAAUAUAGGUAACAAUAUAAGCAAAAACACGAGAAUGUACCUGCUGGAUUAGGCAUCAUUCCCAUAUUUACUUUUGAAAAGUACUCCACGAGCCCAAAUUACCAAUUUCUUGAACAACUUUGACUCUUCUUUACAUUUUGAAGAGAUUUUAUGGGUGAAUGUAGCAAUAGGAGACUUCUAGACCAGGGGUCUCCAACCUUGGCAACUUUAAGACUUGUGGACUUCAAAGUCAGCAAAGCUGGCUGGGGAAUUCUGGGAGUUGAAGUCCACAAGUCUUAAAGUUGCCAAGGUUGGAGACCCCUGGUCUAGACAAUUCACCUCUCCCAUCACCGCUCUUAAAAUCAUCCAAAAAUUUAUUCAUCAGCCUUAAGUCUGUCAUUUCAGAUGAAAGGGGGAAGAGUAUUGUUAAGGGUGGGAUUGGAAGCAAUUUGCAUCCAGACAACUUUCCAUUCCCAUUUCUACCCUUAAUUUUCUACACGCAUGCGGAUACACAAUACCAAAUAAAAUUGGCCGAAUGGAACCAUCGGAUGGCUUUCUGCUAUCUGAGAGGUCAGAAGGCUACCUUUGAGAGCCUUCUAGUCCUCCCAUCAUGCUAAAUCUCUGGAUUAGAAAGACUAUAGGUAACCCAUCUGACUUUGCACCCGUAAGCAAGAAAUCCUGGCUUCUAUCCCCUGCCUUAAUAAUGCACCAAACUGACUCUCCAUCUAGUUUAUAUAGCUUCAAAAGAUAAAUUCCAAGAGGAUAGGUCUAUCCGUGGGUGUUUCCUUUAAUAAGUACUGCCUGUAGAUACAGAGAGCAGCCCUCUUCUAUAUGCUAGUUGUACUGGAAUACUCUAGCAACAGGAGACAAGGGCUCUGUUGCUCUCUGUAAGUUUUCAAGAUGUUGAUCCUAAUUUAACUGGUUUAUUCUCAUGUUUUCCUGGGAAAUGAUUUUUCCUAGCAUUGCACGAUGUUUGCUCCCAUUACCUCCUAGCUAUUAAGUAAGCUCAAACUUCCCAAGGAGCUGCUGAUUAAGUUCUACAGAGGAAUUAUUGAGUCUGUUAUCUGCACCUCUAUAACUGUUCUGCAACCCAACAAGACAGACACAGACUUCAGAGGAUAAUUAGAACUGCAGAAAAAUAAUUGCUACCAAUCUGCCUUCCAUUGAGGACCUGUAUACCGCAUGAGUCAAAAAGAGGGCUGUGAAAAUAUUUACAGAUCCCUCACAUCCAGGACAUAAACUAUUUUAUGUUGUACCUUGAUGAACGUAUCUUUUCUUUUAUGUACACUGAGAGCAUAUGCACCAAGACAAAUUCCUUGUGUGUCCAAUCACACUUGGCCAAUAAAAUUCUAUUCUAUUCUAUUUCAACUCCUACCCUAAAACGACACUAUAGAGCACUGCACACCAGAACAACUAGACACAAGAACAGUUUUUUCCCGAAAGCCAUCACUCUGCUAAACAAUUCCCUCAACACUGUCAAACUAUUUACUAAAUCUGCACUACUAUUAAUCUUCUCAUCGUUCCCAUCACCAAUCUCUUUCCACUUACGACUGUAUGACUGUAACUUUGUUGCUGGCAAUCCUUAUGAUUUAUAUUGAUAUAUUGACCAUCAUUUGUGUUGUAAAUGUUGUACCUUGAUGAACGUAUCUUUUCUUUUAUGUACACUGAGAGCAU